AAACCAUGGUAAUGACAUUUACAUAGCAUAAGUUUGAAAUGCUCCUACGCUUCAUAUAAUGACUCUACCUCGAGCUACAGAAAGUUGGUAAUGUCCAUUCUGAGCUU
rfam:Gossypium hirsutum cultivar TM-1 unplaced genomic scaffold scaffold3087.1, whole genome shotgun sequence